AAUAAAUGUAGUUAUGUACUAUUCAUGUCUUGACUGUUCAUCUUAUUUGAAAAAAAAUUAUAAUUAGUAUUUUUAUUGUUAUUAGAUGAUAAAAUAUGAAUAUUACUUAUUGUGUGACUAUUUUUUUUAAUUUUUUCAUAAAAUUUUCAAAUAAGAUGAUCGGUCAAACGUGUCCUCACGGCUACAUUUAUU
rnacentral:pre_miRNA from 1 species